rnacentral:rRNA from 1 species
UGGGGAAUUUUGGACAAUGGGGGCAACCCUGAUCCAGCCAUGCCGCGUGAGUGAAGAAGGCCUUCGGGUUGUAAAGCUCUUUCGGCGGGGAAGAAAUGGCACGCUCUAACAUAGCGUGUUGAUGACGGUACCCGCAUAAGAAGCACCGGCUAACUACGUGCCAGCAGCCGCGGUAAUACGUAGGGUGCGAGCGUUAAUCGGAAUUACUGGGCGUAAAGCGUGCGCAGGCGGUUUCGUAAGACAGAGGUGAAAUCCCCGGGCUCAACCGGGGAACGGCCGUUGUGACUGCGAGGCUAGAGUGUAGCAGAGGGGGGUAGAAUUCCACGUGUAGCAGUGAAAUGCGUAGAGAUGUGGAGGAAUACCGAUGGCGAAGGCAGCCCCCUGGGCCACUACUGACGCUCAUGCACGAAAGCGUGGGGAGCAAACA